rnacentral:rRNA from 1 species
UACGGAGGAUCCGAGCGUUAUCCGGAUUUAUUGGGUUUAAAGGGUGCGUAGGCGGCACUUUAAGUCAGGAGUGAAAGACGGCAGCUCAACUGUCGCAGUGCUCUUGAUACUGAAGUGCUUGAAUGCCGUUGAAGAUGGCGGAAUGAGACAAGUAGCGGUGAAAUGCAUAGAUAUCGUUUGGAACGCCGAUGGUGAAAACAGGUCGCUGGGGACGUGCUGACGCUGAGACACGAAAGCCAGGGGAGCGAACGGG